rnacentral:rRNA from 1 species
UACGGGGGGGGCAAGCGUUGUUCGGAAUUACUGGGCGUAAAGGGCUCGUAGGCGGCCAACUAAGUCGGACGUGAAAUCCCUCGGCUUAACCGGGGAACUGCGUCCGAUACUGGAUGGCUUGAGUUCGGGAGAGGGAUGCGGAAUUCCAGGUGUAGCGGUGAAAUGCGUAGAUAUCUGGAGGAACACCGGUGGCGAAGGCGGCAUCCUGGACCGAUACUGACGCUGAUGAGCGAAAGCCAGGGGAGCAAACGGG